UCUCUUCCAUUCUCCUUUCUAAUUCAUGUAUGGCUUGUUCCCUUUCAAGAAGUUGUUCCUUAUGUUUUGCAGCAGCAUCUUCAUGCUCUUUGAUUUGAGCAUCAAAUCUGUUCCGCAUUUCCAUGAUCUCAGAUCUUGAGAUCAGCUGAGCUUUAAGUUCAAUCUCCAUAUGUUGUAACUCUUCUCUUUGCCUGGUAAUACUAUGAAUUCGCUGCUGCAUAAUGUCAUUGUCCAAACUACCAUCCACAUUGAUCGAACAGAAGUCAACAUCAGCUGGGGCUCUUCCAUGCUCAUAUAUUGUUCUCUCAUCCGAUUGCCCCAAAUUUGGCCGUUCCAAUUCCUCAUCACCGGCGUUUCGAACGGAAUGGUGGUCGGAAACGACACGCCACUCCUUCCUAGACGAUGGCAUCGACAGAGAAGCACCGCGUGGGGCGACGACACCGGUCGCAGCCUCCAUUAAAUCGACAGAAGUCUACGAUAAUGCUCCAAUUCUCCUCCAGUAUCGUAGGUGAAAAUUUGGGGGUUUUGUAUAAUUGGAGGGUUUUGCAGGGGCUUGGAGUGUAAAUGGUGAAAAGUUGACGAUAGAGAGAGAGAAAAUGAGAG
rnacentral:misc_RNA from 1 species